GAUGAACGCUGGCGGCGUGCCUAAUACAUGCAAGUCGAGCGAACGGACGAGAACUUUGCUUCUCUGAUGUUAGCGGCGGAAGGGUGAGUAACUUGUGGAUAACCUAACUAUACGACUGGGAUAAUUUCGGGAAACCGGAGCUAAUACCCGAUAAUAUUUUGAACCUCAUGGUUCAAAAGUGAAAGUAGGUCUUGCUGUCACUUAUAGAUUGAUCCGGCCUGCAUUAGCUAGUAGGUAAGGUGACGGCUUACCAAGGCAACGAUGCAUAGACGACCUGAGAGGGUGAUCGGCCACACUGGAACUGAGACACGGUCCCGACUCCUACAGGAAGCAACAGUAGGGAAUCUUCCGCAAGGGGCGAGAGCCGGACAGAGCAACACCGCGGAAAGGAUGAAGGUCUUCGGAUCGUAAAGCUCUGUUAGUAGGAAAGAACAUAUGUGUAAGUAACUGUGCACAUCAUGACGGUACCGAAACAAAAAGCCACGGCUAACUACGUG
rnacentral:rRNA from 1 species